UUACAUUGGUCAAUUUCACUUCACACUCCUUAAGCAUAGUGCCACUCUUUUAGGAAGGGAGUUAGUGGGAGGGUUAUUUCACAAUUAAUAACAAUCGGUUACCUUCUUUAUUCCAUUCAUUCACCACUUUACUGAUUCUACACUCUGAAGAAAAUAGAGAGAAAUUUAGAGAGAGAGGGAUAGAAACAUAGUGAGUCUUGCAGGAGAAAGAAAUGAGAACAAAGAUCAACUCUAAAACUAGCAUUUAGACCUAUCACAAGUGUAGAUUCGAUAGAGUAAAGACUGUUGGUGGAAAUCUUAAGAGCUGCUGUUGUUAAGGUAAGGGAAAGGGCGCUCCAUUUUUUUAUUUUAUAUAUGUAUUUACUUGUUUUUAUAAAAGGAUGAUGUUUUUAACAUGUUUAUGUAUUGUAUCAUGCUUAUUUUGUUAGUAUAAAUUGAUUUUGUAUUGCUUGGUUGUGAGUAUAAAUUGUUGUUUCAUGCCUGGAUUGAGGUCUUGCAUAUUUUGUUAGUCAGCGUUACUGUCGGUGUAAUCAAUGUCUCUAGCAGGUGGUUAAGACAGUGAUUAAUUUAGUCGGAUAUUCAUUGUGAGUUGUCUAUUUUGUGGAGUUAAUAUGCAGGUGUCGCAUGCAUACAUUCAUUGUUGCGUGGUGCCCAUAAUUGGUUGGGACCCGAAGUCUUGAGUGCCCAUAAUUGGUUGGGGCUUAUUGUUUCCUUGUGAGUGCUCAUAAUUGGUUGAGGCCCGUUGAUUUCUUUUGGUGCCCAUAAUUGGUUGGGACCCGUGGGGUAUGUGGUGUCCAUAAUUGGUUGGAGUCACGGCGGAGUGUUCAUAAUUGGUUGGAGCCCACAAAUAUCUACGAAGAACUUUUGUUGUCCUUUAAGGGAGGUGAUAUCCGGAUCAUUUGGAGUCGCAUAUAGUUCGGUCUUUAGGGUGUUGUGCAUUUGUCGAGUCCACAUGUGUUUUGGGUGUUGACAUUUUGUGUAGUUAUAUUAAUUUUUGUACAAUUUGCUUGUCUUGAAAUUCAUGUUCAAUAUAUGUACAACUUGUAUGUUUGUUGUUGUCUGGGAAUUGACCCUUUUCCGUAUUUGAAAAUCAGAUAAUGAUAAUGACUUACAGUUGGAGGCUUCGAGUGAUGUGGACUUUAGGUGCGCCUUAGCGAGAGUCUCGCAAGCGUCCAAAGUUAUGACCAGCUAGGAUGUGUCUUUGGGUAGUUAAAGGCCAAGGGCCUUACUAUAUAUUUUGA
rnacentral:lncRNA from 1 species